AUGAACGCUAGCGACAGGCCUAACACAUGCAAGUCGAGGGGCAGCACAAGGAGCAAUCUGAGGUGGCGACCGGCGCACGGGUGAGUAACACGUAUGCAACCUGCCUGUAAGCGGGGAAUAACCCGUUGAAAGACGGACUAAUACCGCAUAAUACUAAAUUACUGCAUGGUAAUUUAUUUAAACAUUUAUGGCUUACAGAUGGGCAUGCGCAUGAUUAGCUAGUUGGAGAGGUAACGGCUCCCCAAGGCAACGAUCAUUAGGGGUUCAGAGAGGAAGGUCCCCCACACUGGUACUGAGACACGGACCAGACUCCUACGGGAGGCAGCAGUGAGGAAUAUUGGUCAAUGGACGAGAGUCUGAACCAGCCAAGUCGCGUGCAGGAAGAAUGUCCUAUGGAUUGUAAACUGCUUUUGCAGGGGAAUAAAGUGCAUCACGUGUGAUGUUUUGUAUGUACUCUGCGAAUAAGGAUCGGCUAACUCCGUGCCAGCAGCUGC
rnacentral:rRNA from 1 species